UAGGGUUGCCACCUGUUCAGUUUUGGCCUGGACAGCCCGGUUUUUGGAAGGGCUGGCCAGGUCAAAAUGUCCUUCCCGGUUUCCCAAAUUAGGAAAACCGGGCAGGAGGUUUUGACCUGGACAGCCCUUCCAGAAACCGGGCUGUCCAGGUCAAAACUGGACAGGUGGCAACCCUAGGUGGCA
rnacentral:pre_miRNA from 1 species